rnacentral:rRNA from 1 species
CAAUAGCGUAUAUUAACGUUGUUGCAGUUAAAAAGCUCGUAGUUGGAUUUCUGGAGGGAGCGUCGGCCCGUAUUUACGAGUGCGUGACGUCUCUGUCCAUCCUUGCGGGAAGGCACGGCAUUGAUUUGUUGUGUCGGAUCGCACCAUUUACUGUGAAAAAAUUAGAGUGUUCAAAGCAGGCUUUCGCUUGAAUACAUUAGCAUGGAAUAAUAAGAUAGGACUUUGGUGCUAUUUUGUUGGUUGAGCCUAAAGUAAUGAUUAAUAGGGAUAGUUGGGGGCACCUGUAUUGCGUUGUCAGAGGUGAAAUUCUUGGAUUUACGCAAGACAAACAGCUGCGAANGNGUCUGCNAAGGAUGUUUNCAUUA